UCUACGGGAGGCAGCAGUGGGGAAUCUUGCGCAAUGGGCGAAAGCCUGACGCAGCCAUGCCGCGUGGAUGAUGAAGGUCUUAGGAUUGUAAAAUCCUUUCAGCGGGGACGAUAAUGACGGUACCCGCAGAAGAAGCCCCGGCUAACUUCGUGCCAGCAGCCGCGGUAAUA
rnacentral:rRNA from 1 species